UACGAAGGGGGCUAGCGUUGCUCGGAAUCACUGGGCGUAAAGCGCACGUAGGCGGCUUUCUAAGUCAGGGGUGAAAUCCUGGAGCUCAACUCCAGAACUGGCCUUUGAUACUGGAGAGCUUGAGUCCGGAAGAGGUGAGUGGAACUCCGAGUGUAGAGGUGAAAUUCGUAGAUAUUACGGAAGAACACCGAUGGCGAAGGCAGCCCCCUGGGCCAAUACUGACG
rnacentral:rRNA from 1 species